rnacentral:lncRNA from 1 species
AUGACCGCCAUCAUAAUGUUUGCACCCGCUCCUCAUUUGCACCUAACAUCAGGCCCUGAGCUUCACAUCAGUUUUGGAUUUGAAAGCUCCCCGUUCUUGAACUGUUCUUAUAUGCACAAUAAAUCCUUCCUAAAUACUAUGCAUUGGUUUGGUGGCUUUAAUUUUGCUCCUCCUGGAUUUUUGGCAGAGGGCAAUGCUGUGCCUCUGCUGUGCUGUGGCACCAGGAGGAUAGCUCUGCUCCCAGCCCUGGUGGUGCCGGGGCAGCUGCUUAGCAGAACUGUGUUUGCUUUUCCAGGCAUUCCAGCUGCUCCCCCCAGAGGCCCAGUGGCCGCAGCCUGCCCGGACCCAGCAGAGUCUCCACACCAGGGUGGGGCCCCAGGCGCCCUGCACCCUCGGCUCCCGCGGGCUCCCUCGCUCAGGUGGCAAGGCGAAGUUUUGGCCCGCAGUCCAACCCCUGACCCUUCAGGUACAGCGCACAUGAUGGAAAGGCUCAUCUAAACAACAGGGUAUGUGGACAGAAGGCCCAUGUCCCCACUUGUUGGGGGCGGGGGGUUCAUUCCACGCAGUUUUCAUUACAGUCACCGUAAGCCAGAGGCCCAUUCACAGGUCUGCUGGUGGAGGAGGACCGCAUGAGAGCAGGGGCUGCCAGGGUGGCCGGCAGGCCCCGCAGACCCACCACUGCCAGUCCCUGUGGCCCACGGCCAUCCACAUGCUCACAGCUCCUGAACCCCUGGAUGGGGUUCUCCGAAGAUGUCUGCCUGGGCAUCCUACCGACCAACUGUCCUCCAGAGACAUCUGCCUGGCGUCCCUCUAUUCUCCAGUCGAGCUUGUCCAAAGAUCUCAUCUUCCCCUUGUGCAAAAGAAAACGAACCGCCUCCCCUCAGGGGACCCCCGAGCCUGCCCUGAUUUCUUUGCUCCUCUGCACUGUCCCCCAGUCUUCCUCUCCGUUCCUUCUUUUCUUCACCUCUAGACGUCUCAGCUGCCCUGAGCGAACUGUGACUCCAGCUCAUUCCCCUCCAGCGCAUCCCGGGCCCGCAGUAGGCAGGGUCCC